UUUGGUAUAUAUCCUAACUUGUUUUGAUUUUAUAUAACAGCGUUACUCUCUGAUUCAUCGUCUUCUUAUUGACGGCAGAGGAAAUUGCAGCGAUUUGAUCAGGUUUCUUUAGGUUUUAGGGUUUGAUGUUCAUAUAUUAUCAUCUAUCUUGUAUUAUGGAUCUUCUGGUUUUUUUUUUUUUUUGGGUUUUGUUUCUAAAACUUGGUUAAGUCAAUGAUCUGAAACACGUGUUUGACUAAUUGGGUUCUGUUUGAUCAGUCUGAAUUGUUUCAACAUGUUUUGGUUAUGAAUUCAAUAAGUGAAGAAAUCGCUGAAGAACUGUCUUUUUGCUCGCUUCAAUAAUUGGGGUUCUGUUUCAUCAGUCUAGACCUAACUCACGAAGCAGAGGAGACCAUUAGAAUUCUUUAUGUGUUAUUUUUGUUUUUUUUCUUUCUCCUGUAGUUUGAAGUUCUUGUCUUUCUUCUUCAGCAAGUCACAAGUGAGUAUCUUCUCCUUACAUUUGUAGCUCUCAUGCAGUGCUUUCUUCAUGGUUUUAUGUUUGAUGGUUGAUUCAUUGAAACUGCAUGAAGCAUGAUGUAGUUUACUACCUCAGAUUAUUAAGUUUGCAAAUAGUUCUGCUCUAUUAUGUAUAUAUACGUAGUAGGUGCUGUUGUUCCAAAGGCAUAGUCUACUGACGCCCAAUGAGCUUGUAAAGGGUAAGUGUUUAAUGAGUUUCUACUAUGAGAGACUGCUCUGAUGAUUUUUUUUUCUUUUUCUUUUGCAGGUUUACUCUACAAAUUUAGUUGAUGGCACCAAAUCUGAAGUAUAAUGUGCUGAAGCAAUCACAAAUACACAGUAUGUGUCAUUUAGGAUUAUUAUAAGGUAAAUGAUCAGUUGUCGAUUUCUAUAAGAAUCACUAUAUGAAGAAUUUGUCUAUCUCCUUUAACGGUUUGGACUCUCAUGGGAAGAAGACCUCUAUAUCUAACUCACGAAGCAGAGGAGACUGUUACGUUCUUUAGAAAAGUCUGUACGGUGUGUAGUGUGAUUAAUACGAUUUGCCUCUCUCUUGUUGGUUAUAUUAUGAUGGCUUGGAUUCAUGGAGUCUAUAUAGAUGUGUUUGGAGUACUCUGAAUGGGAAGAGAGGUUUAUGCGUUUUUUGCUUAAUUUGUUGUAUACACGAAUAGGAAAUGGUCUGCUGAAAUAUUUUUGCAGGUUUACUCCAAAUAUCUAGUUGAUGGCAUCAAAUAUAGAAUCUUGUGUGCUGGCCCAAUCACAUAAAAAGGAGUAUCUCUGCGAUAAUGAUGAGGGAAAGGUGUCAAAAUAGUCACUAGAUUCUGAGGUAAGUGAUCGCUUGCAAAUCUUUUUAGUAUCAAUAUAUGGAGAAACUAUCUUUCUGCUUUGACGGUCUAGCCUCUUAGUGGGAUAUGUCUUUUUGUCAAUAUCGUAGUUUCAACUUAUUAUUUCCUAGAAUUUUGCUAUGUGUUUUGAAUAGCUUCUAGAUCUAACAUACAAAGCAGAGGAGACCUAUAUAACUUCUUUAGAAAAGUCUGUAUGAUGCGUGAUGAAUUCUGAUUUGCCUCUUUCUUGUUGGUUGUUUGUACCCAAGUUAAUUUCUUGCGAUCUCAGGUUUGUCUUCUAAUACUUUAUUUAGGACAUUAAAAGUUCCAAGUUCUACCCAAAAUAUCACUGUAGCAGUUAUGAUGCCAACCAACCAUUUCUUGUAGUUUUUAGACUAACUAGAUCACUACUCAGGACAGCCAAACCAACUUUGACAUUAUUAGUGUGAAGACUCAAGUGGAAAUCUGUAUUGAUAAAUGGUGUGAAAUGAACAUAAUAUCCCUCUCUGCAGUUUCUCCACUAUCCUAUCAACUUGAUCUUGAUCUCUUGCUUAUCACCUUUGACUUCAUAUGGUAUGUCUUCAAUCUUUAUGUGGUGGUUUUGUCUCUCAUGUAGUUUGAAGUUGUUGUCUCUCUUCUCCAGCAAGUCACAAGUUUACUCUACGUAUCUACUUGAUGACUUAAAAUCUAAAACUUAUCUGCUGACCCAAUUACAAAAAGAGUAUGUAAGUAAGCACUCCAUCACUCCUCUUUCGAUGUAUAGUUCUCGUUUCUGUUGUAUAAGCUCUGUGAUAAUGAUAUAGCUUUGUCUAUGAAAGCUAAUCAGAAUAAUAGUUAGAAAAUGAGCUAAAUGAUCACUGCUGAUAUUUUUCUGCAUCAAUAUAUGGAUAACAUCUACCCAUCUAUUUUGGCUGUCUUUGGCUAUCCGAGGUAAGUAGUAAUUUCAACUUAUCAUUUUUUUAAGAGUUCACUCUUUACCAUCUAUUAUUUUUUGAUGUGUUGUAGUAGUUGGUUUUAGAAUGAGGCUUCUAAAUCUAAUUGGCAAAGCAGAGGACUUACAUAUUUGGUUCCAAGUUCUAACAAAAAUGUUACUUGUAGAAGUAUUGAAUUCCCAAGGCUGGCUAAUGCCUCUUCAGUUAUAUUUUAGAGUCUGCCUGCAUCGAGGAAUUGUCACACUUUGAUGUUGCUUCUGAUGCCUUUUCAACAUUCAAGGAUCUUCUCACAAAACAUGGCUCUGUAGUCUCCGAGUUUCUCACCUCUCAUUAGUAAGGUUUGCUUCAACAUCUUUUUAAAGUUUACAUGAAGACAUGAAAUAUAUUUCUUGGUUAUAUGACGAGAAGGCUGUCACUGAAGGUUCUCUUUGCAACAAUUCUUAUGUUGGUACUAUAUUCGUAUAUGUAUCACCUUUUAAAUAGUAUUGUUAGAAAUGAGAGUAUUCGUGGUUGGUAUAGCUUUUCUCAGAUUUCUUAUUUACUAACUACACUAUUUACGAGUAAGGAUAUGUUUUGAACUCAUUGGGUUCAUAUAUCAACUCUUCCUUGAAAGAUGUGUAGUUUGAUCAGUGUAUAUGUGAUUAACUAUUCUGUUUUCUAAAUGUGGCAAAUUAGUCAUUAAUCAAAUAAGUGAAGAAAUCACUGUAGAACUGGCUUUUUUCUCAAUGCAUAUAAAUCUAUACAGUUCUCUAUCUCCCUGGAAAUGUCUUGCUUUUUUCGAGGUACGUUAUUCUUAUUUUUGAUUUUCCUCUUACGGUUUGAUGUUAUUGGCUCUUUUCUUCUGCAGUGGGAGAGUUCAUAGUCUAGUGUGACUAUGUGAGCUUACAAAUAGGAUUCUUUCAAAUCACUUGAUGAAACAGUAGGCUUGCAUAGAAUAAAAUAAAUACAUACAUCAUGCUUGCAUUGGCUUUUUAUUCUGUGCGUUUACCAGCUUUUGAUUGCUUGAGUCAUAAACUUGUUUUUGUCCCUUAACUUUUUUGUAUGCUUAUAUACUUCCUUGUUUCCGUUUCAUGCUUGUUUACUUGUUCAUUAUUUCCAUCCUUACUUCUUUAAUUUGCUUUCUUACUUGUUAUCUUAAAGUAAGGAAUAGGUUUAUGCUUACUUACUGAGUUUGUUGUAUGUAAAAGGGAAAAGUGCUCUGCUGAAUAUGUUUUGUUUUUUCUGCAGGUUUACUCUACAAAUCUAGUUGAUGGUUUCUGACUCAAUCAAAAAAAAAAAAUGAGUUUGUAGGUGAUCAAAUAAUCACUAGACUCUGAGGUGAAUGAUCACUUGCCAAUAUAUGGAGAAACAUCCAUAUCCGUUGAUGGUCUUAACUUUCAUGUGACCAGGGCUUCUAGAUCUAAUUAACAAAGCAGAGGAGACCAUUAAACAAUCCAUCUCCUUUGACGGUCUAGCCUCCAGUGGGAAAGAAGCUUAUAUGGUUAUACAAAGCAGAGGAGACCUUUAGGAGAAUCAUCCAUAUCUUUUAACGAAUAUAUGGAGAAACAUCCAUAUCUUUUGAUGGUCCAUGUUGUGGAACUGUCAGACUUUGAUGUUGCUUCUGAUGCCUUUUCAACAUUUACGGAUCAUCUCACAAAACAUGGCUCUGUAGUCUCCGAGUUUCUCACCUCUCAUUAGUAAGGUUUGCUUCAACAUCAUUAGUAGGUUUAUGCUUUCUUACUUAAGUUGUUGUACGUAAAAGGUAAAAGUGAGCUGCUGAAUGUUUUUUGUUUCUGCAACUUUACUUUACAGACCUACUUGAUGGUCAAAUCUGAAAUUGUAUUUGCUGACCUGAUCACAAAAAAAAAAAAAAGAGUAUGUAGGUUAGAACUCUAUCACCUAAACAACUAGCAAAGAACUUUGCUCACCACUUUCUGAUCUAUGGUUCUCGUUUCUGCUACAUAAACUCUGUGAUAAUGAUAUAUCUUUUCUUAGAGUUCAUUUUACUAUGUUUUCUGAAUGCAUGGUUGAAUUCAGAACAGGGCUUCUAGAUCUAACUUACAAAGCAGAGGAGACCAUUAAAUUUCUUUAGAAAUUGUUGUACGGUAUGUGAUGAAUUUGUUUUGCCACUAUCUUGUUGAUUGUACAAAAGCUACUAUAUGUGUAUACUACUUGAUGACCUCAAAUUUGUGCUGACCCAAUCACAAAAAAGUGAGCAUGUGGUCAGGAUUCAGGCGAUGAGCUAAAUGGUGCUGAUAUUUUUAAGCAUCAUAUAUAUAUGGAGAACAUCUACCCAUCUCUUUCGACUAUCUUUGGCUAUCGUGAGGUAAGUCUUCGUCCAUAUAGUAAUUUCAACUGAUAAUUUUCUUAAGUGUUCACUCUUAGUAUGUAUUUCUUCUAAUGCUUGGAAGUACUCAACUUUAGAAUGAGACUUCUAAAUCUAAUUGGCAAAGUAGAGGAGACUAAUAGACUUAAAUUUUAAAAGUUAGGACGGUCCUCACUACUCACAAAGCAGAGGAGCUAGUUCCUUCCAAGGUAUAUGUCCUCUAUCUUUUACUCAUGUUUGAUCUUGUGAGUUUGCUUUAAUAAUUUGAUGUUCUCUUCAAUAUAGCACAUGGUCUUAGAACUUGACAUUAAGGUCCAUGUUCAUCUUAUGUAGUUGCAGAUUUCACAGUCUAAUGUGAUGUGGUCUAGUUUCAUAGAUUCUUCGAUCUUCCAAAUCACUUAACGAAGCCAGACACAACACAUGCAAAAAUCAUAUAAAUAUACACAUCACACGCAUAACAUAUUUACAUGCAUCUAUACAUACAUGCAUCUAUACAUACA